GACCAAAAAUGAACUAAAAACAAAGUUUUGGGGCGAAUUUAAAAAAAAAUUAAAGGGGAAAGGACCUAUUUGAAUGCGGGUAAAACCAUGGGGUAUUAAAAGUGCAAAAUUUCAAACUUUCCAAAACGCUGCGCAUAUACGGGGGUUAAAUUAAAAACUGAGCAAAAUUCUGGGGUCAAUUCAGAAACAAACAUAAACCUAAUUUAAAACACCAAAAAUGCGGAAGGGCUGAUUGCGCAAAUAGCCCUUCCGCUCUUAAAACACGC
rnacentral:lncRNA from 1 species